rnacentral:rRNA from 1 species
ACGCCGACGUGAGUGAUGAAGGUUUUCGGAUCGUAAAGCUCUGUUGUUAGGGAAGAACAAGUACCGUUCGAAUAGGGCGGUACCUUGACGGUACCUAACCAGAAAGCCACGGCUAACUACGUGCCAGCAGCCGCGGUAAUACGUAGGUGGCAAGCGUUGUCCGGAAUUAUUGGGCGUAAAGGGCUCGCAGGCGGUUUCUUAAGUCUGAUGUGAAAGCCCCCGGCUCAACCGGGGAGGGUCAUUGGAAACUGGGGAACUUGAGUGCAGAAGAGGAGAGUGGAAUUCCACGUGUAGCGGUGAAAUGCGUAAGAUGUGGAGGAACACCAGUGGCGAAGGCGACUCUCUGGUCUGUAACUGACGCUGAGGAGCGAAAGCGUGGGGAGCGAACAGGAUUAGAUACCCUGGUAGUCCACGCCGUAAACGAUGAGUGCUAAGUGUUAGGGGGUUUCCGCCCUUAGUGCUGCAGCUAACGCAUUAAGCACUCCGCCUGGGGA